rnacentral:rRNA from 1 species
AUUGAACGCUGGCGGCAGGCCUAACACAUGCAAGUCGAACGAGUGGCGGACGGGUGAGUAAUGUCUGGGAAACUGCCUGAUGGAGGGGGAUAACUACUGGAAACGGUAGCUAAUACCGCAUACCAUCAGAUGUGCCCAGAUGGGAUUAGCUAGUUGGUGGGGUAACGGCUCACCUAGGCGACGAUCCCUAGCUGGUCUGAGAGGACGACAAGCCACACGGGGACAGAGACACGGUCCAGACUCCUACGGGAGGCAGAAGUGGGGAAUAUUGCACAAUGGGGGACAGCCUGAUGCAGCCAUGCCGCGUGUAUGAAGAAGGCCUUCGGGUUGUAAAGUACUUUCAGCGGGAAGGCGUUACCCGCAGAAGAAGCACCGGCUAACUCCGUGCCAGCAGUCGCGGUAAUUC